UUUAAAUGUAAAUUUGGUUAUUUAAGUAGUAAUAGUUAUGUUCUUGAAAUUUAAAAAUUUUGGCGGUAUUUUAGUCUAUUUAGAGGAACCUGUCCUGUAAUUGAUAAUCCACGAUAUAUUAUACUUAGAUUAGAAAUUUGUAUAUCGUCGUUUUUAAUGAUUUUAUAAGAAUUUAAAUUAUUAAGAUUUUUUAUUAAAAAGUAAAUCAGAUCAAGGUGCAGUUUAUAUUUAAGUAGAGAUGGGUUACAAUAAAUUUAUUUAUUAAUGGAUUUAUAUAUGAAAAUUUAUAAUAAAGGUGGAUUUAAAAGUAAUAAAAUUUAUAUAAAUUUUAUGAUUUUAGCUCUAAAAUGUGU
rnacentral:rRNA from 1 species